rnacentral:lncRNA from 1 species
GUAUGUGAAUACUCAUUUUUUAAUGACCCAACAACAGGAGUAAAGCAUCCACAGGAAACAAUAAACGCGACAGCAGCAACAGUUUGCAGGCUAAAAAACGCAGUGCAAAACAACCACCCACAACCCCAAAGAAAAACACACACACCUAUAUAGGACUUCCAAUCAAAGGCAACUCAACACACCUGCCUUCAAUUGGAAGUCCCAAUCAACAAUACAAACAUACCCAACACAAACAUGCCACUUCCUGACCAAAACUAAAACACUAGCUCCAUCUGCUGGUCAGGACGUGACACAAAGACAAAACAACAAAGAUUAUAUAAAAGUAUAAACUGUAGUAGGAUGAGUCAAAAUGUAGGAGCAGUGAACGUAAGCGUUAAGGAACUGAGAUCUGCACCAUUUAAGUCAACUUAAAGCGAAAAUAGCUUAUUCCAUAAACUCAGAAACAGUAAAGAGCCUUCCGCAAACUGUUGCCACAAAUUUGGAAACACAGAACCGUUUAUGCAUUGGGUGUCGACAUACUCUUGGCCAUGUAGUGUAUGUCCAAAGCACAUAAUGUAACUUGGUAAAUAUAUUCUAAAAGUUUGACAUACAGUGCAUUUGGAAAGUAUUUAGACCCUUUCACUUUUUCCAAAUUUUGUUAAGUUUCAGCCUUGUUCUAAAAUUGAUUAAAUUGUUUUUCCCCCCCUCAAUCCACACACAAUACCCCGUAAUGACAAAGCAAAAACAGUUUUUUAGAUUUCUUUGUAAAUGUAUAAAAAAAGAUGUAUAAAUAAACUCACAUUUACGUAAGUAUUCAGACCCUUUACUUAGUACUUUGUUGAAGCACCUUUGGCAGCGAUUACAGCCUAGAGUCUUCUUGGGUAUGACACUACAAGCUUGGCACACCUGUUUUUGGGGAGUUUGUCCCAUUCUUCUCUGCAGAUCCUCUCAAGCUCUGUCAGGUUGGAGGAAGAGCAUCCCUGCACAGCUAUUUUCAGGUCUCUCCAGAGAUCAAUCGGGUUAAAGUCCAGGCCACUCAAGGACAUUAAGAGACUUGUCCCAAAGCCACUCCUGCGUUGUCUUGGCUGUGUGCUUAGGAUCGUUGUCCUGUUGGAAGGUGAACCUUCCCUUCAGUCUGAGGUCCUAUGCGCUCUGGAGCAGGUUUUCAUCAAGGAUCUCUCUGUACUUUUCUCCGCUCAUCUUUCCCUUGAUCCUGACUAGUCUCCCAGUCCCUCUAGAACUCUAGAGCUCCUCUGGCAGAGUGACCAUCGGGUUCUUGGUCACCUCCCUGACCGAGGCCCCUCUCCCCCGGUUGCUUAGUUUGGCCAGGCAGCCAGCUCUAGGAAGAGACUUGGUGGUUCCAAAUGUCUUCCAUUUAAGAAUGACGGAGGCCACUGUGUUCUUGGGGACCUUCAAUGCUGCAGAAAUGUUUUGGUACCCUUCCCCAUAUCUGUGCCUUGACACAAUCCUGUCUCGGAGCUCUACUUACAAUUCCUUCAACGUCAUGGCUUGGUUUUUGCUCAGACAUGCACUGUCAACUGUGGGACCUUUAUUUAGAAAGGUGUGUGCCUUUCCAAAUCAUAUCCAAUCAAUUCAAUUUACCACAGGUGGACUCAAAUUAAGUUGUGGAAACAUCUCAAGUAUGAUCAAUGGAAACAGGAUGCACCUGAGCUCAAUUUUGAGUCUCAUAGCAAAGGGUCUGAAUACUUAUGUAAAUAAGGUGUUUCUAUUUUGUUUUAUUUUUUUUUUAAAAGCAAAAUCUUCAAACCAGUUUUCGCUUUGUCAUUAUGGGGUAUUGUGUGUAGAUUGAUGAGGAAAAACAUAUAUUUAAUACAUUUUAGACUAAGGCUGUAACGUAACAAAAUGUGGGAAAAGGGAAGGGGUCUGAAUACUUUCCCGAAUGCACUGUAUUCAUGAUUUUAUAUAAUGUAAAACACAAGUGUGCUCUAAACCCUUUGCCGAGGGCAGCUGGAUGAGGACCCUGACAGGGCUAUUUUUGUUUUUGUGUAGUAACAGACAAUUCCAGGAGGCCUCUUAGAAGUAUAAUGUUAAUUGCCCCUGUCAAUGCUGAAAAGAUAGACAGAUGAGCCCACUGCGGAGUUAGUUGGUGAUCCAUGAAAAUACAAGUUCACAAAUAUCGUGACAGCUUAUCUUCAGUUCCAACCAGGUUGCAGAGCUGCUAUUCCCAAAGCAUGAUUACACAGAAGCCCCUUCCUACAGAAGAGCAGCUGGAGGCAGUGCGUGAUGAAAUAGAUUGGCUGGCAAAGGAGAAUGACUCACGAAGAAGUCAACCAUUCAGUUUCCAGUGUGAUCCCAGGUUCAUCAUGUUGUACACUGGGGUUAAAGACUGACACCCUGAAAGCUGAUUGCCAGGCUUAGAAGACAUAUUUGAUAGCGUGAUCCCCCUGACACUCGCCAGUUCAGUUAACCAGCUGUGGUUUGUAUGUGCUGUACUCAACUUUCCAAGGGCUACUUUUUUAAAGAACACUUAUCUUGUGGCCCUACCCACUUCCACUAUAUGGGAAUGAAUGAAGAAUUGUUUAUUGUAAGCAUUUAUCCAUUUGUCUAACCCUCAAUGUACACAGCCACUGUAAUGCUUAAGGGAGAACCCUGUAUUUCUGUGAUGUACAAUAGAUUGAUAUACUGUUCUACCUGAGAAGAAUACCAUGACAAAUGCUUUUCAAACAAGACUAUUUAAUUAUCAAAAUACAUGUCUCCAGCGUCAAUAAUUUCACAGUUCAUUAAAAAGCUCAAGCUUCAAUCAAAUAGGCUAACUUCAAUUAUAGACAUAUUUUAAGCUUCAAUCAUGUAACUGGAAUUACAAACAUUUCAAAGUCCAGUCCUGUACAUCACUGAAUAAACUAUACACCAUGAUUUAUUAUUACCAUGGCACCAGGGUAUCACCUUUCCACCUUCUUCUUCUUCUGAGGAUUUUAUAUGGCGGUUGGCAACCAACUUUAACCUGUUUGGGAUAAGGGGCAGUAUUUUGACGUUCGGAUGAAAAGCGUGCCCAGAGUAAACUGCCUGCUACUCGGGCCCAGAGUCAAAUAUUUGCAUAUUAUUAGUAUAUUUGGAUAGAAAACACUCUGAAGUUUCUAAAACUGUUUGAAUGGUUUCUGUGAGUAUAACAGAAAUCAUAUGGCAGGCCAAAACCUGAGAAGAUUCCAUACAGGAAGUGCCCUGUCUGACAAUUUGUUGUCCUUCUGUUGCAUCUCUAUCGAAAAUACAGCAUAUGUGCUGUAACGUGACACUUUCUAAGGCUCUCAUUGGCUCUCUAAAGCCGCCAGAAAGUGGAAUGGGGUGUCUGCUGUCUCUGGGCGAAGAACAGCAGGAGAAUUUGUGAGUGGUCAGCCUGGGGACAGUGACACUGGAGAUGCGCGUUCACGAGAAUUCUCCAUUUUUUUCUUUCAGCCUUUGAAUGAAUACAACGUUGCCCGGUUGGAAUAUUAUCGCUAUUUUACGAGAAAAAUCGCAUAAAAAUUGAUUUUAAACAGCGUUUGACAUGCUUCUAAGUACGGUAAUGGAAUAUUUUGAAAUCUUUUGUCACGAAAUGCGCAUCACCCUUCGGAUAGUGACCUGAACGCACGAACAAAACAGAGCGAUUUGAAUAUAACUAUGGAUUAUUUCGAACCAAAACAACAUUUGUUGUUGAAGUAGAAGUCCUGGGAGUGCAUUCUGACGAAGAACAGCAAAGGUAAUCCAAUUUUUCUAAUAGUAAUUCUGAGUUUAGUGAGUCCCAAACUUGGUGGGUGUCAAAAUAGCUAGCCGUGAUGGCCGAGCUAUGUACUCAGAAUAUUGCAAAAUGUGCUUUCGCCGAAAAGCCAUUUUAAAAUCUGACAUAGCGUUUGCAUAAAGGAGUUCUGUAUCUAUAAUUCUUAAAAUAAUUGUUAUGCAUUUUGUCAAUGUUUAUCAUGAGUAAUUUAGUAAAUUCACCGGAAGUUUUCGGUGGGUAUGCUUGUUCUGAACAUCACAUGCUAAUGUAAAAAGCUGGUUUUUGAUAUAAAUAUGAACAUGAUUGAACAAAACAUGCAUGUAUUGUAUAACAUAAUGUCCUAGGAGUGUCAUCUGAUGAAGAUCAUCAAAGGUUAGUGCUGCAUUUAGCUGUGGUUUUGGUUUUUGUGACAUAUAUGCUUGCUUUGAAAAUGGCUGUGUGAUUAUUUUUGGCAGGGUACUCUCCUGACAUAAUCUAAUGUUUUGCUUUCGCUGUAAAGCCUUUUUGAAAUCGGACAAUGUGGUUAGAUUAACGAGAGUCUUGUCUUUAAAAUGGUGUAAAAUAGUCAUAUGUUUGAGAAAUUGAAGUUAUAGCAUUAUUUCGCGCCACGCGAUUCCACUGGCUGUUGACUAGGGUGGGACCUAGCCCAGGGAAGUUAGACAAGUAACGUUAGACAUAAUAUUUAUUUCAACACACCAUAAGGUGAGAUGAAGGCAGUGGGAAGGUUUACUCCUAAAUGGCAGGUAAUCCAAAGAAAGAAGAAGAGUAGGCGGUCGGGAUGUUGCGACAAACUUUAGUUAACUAUUAACAGAAUAUAUUUACAAAAUAAUACAUAUGGGUGCAGUCAGCCUAGAACAUCAGGACGAACAACUGCAACGCGUUUCAACUACUAGAACCUUCCAUAAGGGACACACAAAGAACAGAUAUGGAUUGUCCAUACAAUUCCAUAAUGCAUUAACUUAGGCUAAAUCAAAGCAGAACCCAAAACAAUGCAAAAAAAAGGCUACUUGCCUGAAAUUAAGGUUUGGUUAUUGCAUAGAUUUAUGGAUUUUCACUAGUGAGGGGUUUGAAGAAAAUACUGCUAAGUAUUGUAACUGUCUGGUGGGGUCAAAAUUAUUCAAUUAUGGUCUAUUAUAUCUAAUUGAAAAUAACAUAAAGGGAUGUCAUUUGUGGCAUCCCGGGUGGCGCAGUGGUCGCAGUAGCUGUGCCACUCUGGGUUUGAGCCCAGGCUCUGUCGCAGCCGGCCGCGCCCGGGAGGCCCAUGGGGCGGCGCACAAUUGGCCUAGCGUCGUCCGGGUUAGGGAGGGUUUGGCCGGCAGGGAUAUCCUUGUCUCAUCGUGCACUAGCGACUCCUGUGGCGGGCCGGGCGCAGUGCACGCUGACCAGGUUGCUAGGUGUAUGGUGUUUCCUCUGACACAUUGGUGCGGCUGGCUUCCGGGUUGGAUGCGCGCUGUGUUAAGAAGCAGUGCGGCUUGGUUGGGUUGUGUUUCGGAGGACGCAUGGCUCUCAACCGUCGCCUCUCCCGAGUCCGUACGGGAGCUGUAGUGAUGAGACAAGACAGUAACUACUAACAAUUGGAUACCACAAAAUUGGGGAGAAAAAGGGGGUAAAAAUAAAUUGUACAAAAUGUAAAAAGCGAUGUAAUUUAAGGGAUUACAUUACCAUUUUAUUAUUCCAGAUGAAAAUUGGAAUUGGGUAAAUUUGAAACACAUAUAGUACCUUCCAUUUGUGGAUCGCAGUUCAUGGAAUCCUAGCACACGAAUAAAACACAUUUACAUUUACAUUUAAGUCAUUUAGCAGACGCUCUUAUCCAGAGCGACUUACAAAAUGGUGCAUUCACCUUAUGAUAUCCAGUGGAACACCCACUUUACAAUAGUGCAUCUAAAUAUUUU